AGGCGAGUAGCUCAAUUGGUAGAGCACCGGUCUCCAAAACCGGCGGCUGCAGGUUCGAUUCCUGUCUCGCCUG
rnacentral:tRNA from 3 species